rnacentral:rRNA from 1 species
ACGCACGCUGGCGGCGUGCUUAACCCAUGCAAGUCGAACGGAAAGGCCCCUUUGGGGGUACUCGAGUGGCGACCGGGUGAGUAACACGUGAGUAACCUGCCCUUGACUUCGGGAUAACUUCAGGAAACUGGGGCUAAUACCGGAUAGGAAUCCUUGCUGCAUGGUGGGGGUUGGAAAGCUUCGGCGGUUUUGGAUGGACUCGCGGCUUAUCAGCUUGUUGGUGGGGUAGUGGCUUACCAAGGCUUUGGCGGGUAGCCGGCCUGAGAGGGCGACCGGCCACAUUGGGACUGAGAUACGGCCCAGACUCCUACGGGAGGCAGCAGUGGGGAAUAUUGCACAAUGGGCGGAAGCCUGAUGCAGCAACGCCGCGUGCGGGAUGACGGCCUUCGGGUUGUAAACCGCUUUCAGCAGGGGCGAAGCUUGUGGUGACGGUACCUGCAGAAGAAGCACCGGCUAACUACGUG